rnacentral:rRNA from 1 species
ACGCUGGCGGCACGCCUAACACAUGCAAGUCGAACGCAGUAGCAAUACUGAGUGGCGAACGGGUGAGUAUAAUGUGGGUAUCUGCCUUUUGGUUUGGAAUAACAUGGGGAAACUUAUGCUAAUACCGAAUAAGCCCUUACGGGGAAAGUUUUAACGCCAAAAGAUGAACCCACACUUGAUUAGCUAGUUGGUAGGGUAAUGGCCUACCAAGGCAACGAUCAAUAGCUGAUCUGAGAGGAUGAUCAGCCACAUUGGGACUGAGACACGGCCCAGACUCCUACGGGAGGCAGCAGUGGGGAAUCUUGCACAAUGGGGGAAACCCUGAUGCAGCGAUGCCGCGUGAGUGAAGAAGGCCUUUGGGUUGUAAAGCUCUUUCGUCGGGGAAGAAAAUGACUGUACCCGAAUAAGAAGGUCCGGCUAACUUCGUGCCAGCAGCCGCGGUAAUACGAAGGGACCUAGCGUAGUUCGGAAUUACUGGGCUUAAAGAGCUCGUAGGUGGUUAGAAAAGUUGGUGGUGAAAUCCCAAAGCUUAACUUUGGAACUGCUAUCAAAACUUUUUGACUAGAGUAUGAUAGAGGAAAGUGGAAUUUCUAGUGUAGAGGUGAAAUUCGUAGAUAUUAGAAAGAACACCAAUUGCGAAGGCAACUUUCUGGAUCAUUACUGACACUGAGGAGCGAAAGCAUGGGUAGCGAAGAGGAUUAGAUACCCUCGUAGUCCAUGCUGUAAACGAUGUGUGCUAGACGUUGGAAAUUUAGUUUUCAGUGUCGCAGCAAAAGCGUUAAGCACACCGCCUGGGGAGUACG